rnacentral:snRNA from 1 species
GGAUGUGAGGGCGAUCUGGCUGCGACAUCUGUCACAACACUGAUUGCCAGGGUUUAUUCAGCUGAACUGACUGGCUAGGCCGGUGUCCCCUUCCUCCCUCACGGCUCCAUGUGCGUCCCUCCCGAAGCUGCACACUUGGUCGAACAGGACAACCUUCCCCGAUAGAGGAAGAUCAUUCUUCGGUCAAGGGUAUCUGAGUAGCUGCGCUCCCCUGCUAGAACCUCCAAACAAGCUCUCAAGAAGGACACAUUAAGUUUAAGAACCACUAGUGAGAGGCAGACAUAUAUAGAUGGAAUUGAAUACAAGGGAACCCAUGGAAACAUUU